rnacentral:sRNA from 1 species
CUUUUUUUCAAUAUUUUCAUCAAUUUGAUCUUUGUACACCUCCGUUUUAAUUCUAAAUUUCUCGGCGCAGAAAAUUACCGGCAAAUUUCACGGAGAAACCUCACCGACGAAGCAAAGUUAUGACGGGCAAGGCUUUCCAAUUUUUGUUUAGACUAAAU